rnacentral:tRNA from 1 species
ACAUAUUUUUGUUAUUUAUGUUAAUAUAAAGGAAAUAAAAA